ACACUUCUUUUUGGGUCUCCAUAGAUCUUAAAUAUUUGUUUGGUUUUUUUUAUUUUAAGGCAUGAGUACAUGUUCUGUGCCUUUUAUUUUUUAACACAGAAGCCAAGAAUGUUGCAUUUUGUUGUGUUGACUGUCUUGCCCUUUGCUUUCUGGCAGAUUGACUGGAACAGACCAAUCACAGAAGCACUCUGAUACUCUUCAGGAAGGUGGAUGGCACCUGGAAUGUCUCACCCAGACCACUGUCCUGGUGUGCAGGAAGAAGGAUGCUAAAGAGAUCCUGCUCCUAUGUCAGAAAGGUAUUUUCUUUUAUGUCCCUGAUUUUCAUGGGUCCUGAAGAAAUUACUGAUGGGAGCUGGCCAGAUAGCGAGACCACACUGGAGCAGAACUCGGCAGAGUUUGAAUAACAGAAAAUCUCAGAGCCCUCUCACUGGAGUGACAGGAGCUGCUGGUUAAAACUGAGAGUGGGGCCCAGCCACCAGUCCGUCGUCGUGACUUAGAUGGAUAAUUAGUCAGGUAACAAUUCCACUGUUGAAAAGUCUGUGAGGCUGGGAUCAAACCAACUCAGCACUGCAGGCAAC